UGCCAGCAGCCGCGGUAAUACGUAGGGUGCAAGCGUUGUCCGGAUUUAUUGGGUUUAAAGGGUGCGUAGGCGGUCUAUUAAGUCAGUGGUGAAAUCCAACAGCUCAGCUGUUGGUGUGCCAAUGAUACUGAUGGACUUGAGUACAGACGAGGUAGGCGGAAUUGACAGUGUAGCGGUGAAAUGCAUAGAUAUUGUCAAGAACACCGAUAGCGAAGGCAGCUUGCUAGCCUGUAACUGACGCUGAGGCACGAAAGUAUGGGGAUCAAACAGGAUUAGAUACCCUGGUAGUCCAUACAGUAAACGAUGAUUACUCGAUGUUGGCGAUACACAGUCAGCGUCUUAGCGAAAGCGAUAAGUAAUCCACCUGGGGAGUACGCCGGCAACGGUGAAACUCAAAGGAAUUGACGGGGGCCCGCACAAG
rnacentral:rRNA from 1 species